GAGGCUCAGUGGGAGAGCAUCUCCUUUGCAUGCAGAAGGUCCCAGGUUCAGUCUCUGGCAUCUCCU